AAAAGAAGUGGACCAGAUCAGCCUUAUCAAGCCCAUGGUGCGGGCACUUGACCAGUAGAUCAUGGAAUCUUUCCCAAAGUUGGAAAAAUUCCUCCUCAGAUUUUUCUCUAAAAGUUCUUAUGGCAUCCUUAAUUUUUUCAGUCUUUACCAUGGGAUAGAACUUAGCCAUGAACUUCCUAGAUAGUUGUUCCCAUGAUGUGACGGAAUUUGAACCAAGGGAAUACAGCCAUGCAGCAGCACGAUCCUCUAAAGUCAUGGAAAACAACCUUAAUUCUUCAUCUAAGUUUUGAUUUCUAAAUGUUUGACAGAUUGUCAAAAAUUUGUUUAGAUGAAUGUAGGGUUGUUCACUCUC
rnacentral:lncRNA from 1 species